UACGGAGGGUGCAAGCGUUGUCCGGAUUUAUUGGGUUUAAAGGGUGCGUAGGCGGCUAAUUAAGUCAGCGGUGAAAUUCCACAGCUUAACUGUGAGAACUGCCAUUGAUACUGGUUGGCUUGAGUACAGAUGAGGUAGGCGGAAUUGACAGUGUAGCGGUGAAAUGCUUAGAUAUUGUCAAGAACACCUAUUGCGAAGGCAGCUUACUAAACUGUAACUGACGCUGAGGCACGAAAGCGUGGGGAGCAAACAGG
rnacentral:rRNA from 1 species